rnacentral:rRNA from 1 species
AUACCAGCUCUCCGAGUGGUGUGGAUGUUUAUUGGGCCUAAAGCAUCCGUAGCUGGCUAGGUCAGUCCCUUGUCAAAUCCACCGAAUUAAUCGUUGGAUCGCGGGGGAUACUGCUUGGCUAGGGGACGAGAGAGGCAGACGGUAUUUCCGGGGUAGGGGUGAAAUCUAUAAUCCCGGGAAGACCACCAGGGGCGAAGGCUGUCUGCUAGAACGCGCCCGACGGUGAGGGAUGAAAGCUGGGGGAGCGAACCGGAUUAGAUACCCGGGUAGUCCCAGCUGUAAACGAUGCAGGCUAGGUGUUUGGACGGCCACGUGCCGUUCUAGUGCCGCAGGGAAGCUGUUAAGCCUGCCGCCUGGGGAGUACGAUCGCAAGAUUGAAACUUAAAGGAAUUGGCGGGG